CCAGCCCCCCAUUACCCCCCACACCCCUCCUCCGUCACACCAGCUCUCCAUUAUACACCUAUCACCAAAGAGCUGUCCCCCUCUUCAGCUCCACCCAUCCAUCUCUUUAUUUACCCAUCCUAUACCCAGCUCCUCAGCCCUUCCCCACACACCUCUGCAAUCAGCCCUCCAUCAUGCAGCUCUCCUCCCCAAACACCCAUCCUUCCUUCCCUCCUUCCAUCCCUCUGCCUCUCUAUCUAUCAUACCCCCCAGCUGCCCCAUCCAUCACCCGGCCAGGCAGCUCCUCAUAGAUGUGUCCAUCCGCAGACAUCCUCCAUCCACCCACCCUUCCAUUCCUAAACACCCCCUCCCUCCUUCCAUCCGCCCCCCGCCCCACAGCCCUCUGUCUGUGGGCUGCCAGGCUCUCCUCUCGGCCAGGGUCUGCACAGGGUCCUGAGCUCGGAUGUGGCUGAUCCACAGCCCCCCCCAGUCCUGACCUUGAGCCUGAUUUUCAGAACUUGACGUGCAGAGCCGGCUGCGAUGACUUCAGCCCUCCAGAGACUGAGACUCCGUGAUCCACCCCUGUCGCCUCAGCUCCCUUCCUGAUGCAAAGGCACCCUGGCAGACACUGGGCUCGACCCUCACCUCCAGGGGAGGGUUCAGCCUGGGUUUGCAGGUUGGGAAACUGAGGCACGGAGCAGCUACAUCUGGGGCUCUGGAACUCUCCUGAUCAUCCCCUUCCUUCACGGAGAGAACAGGACUGGUCUCAGUUGUCCUCAGCCCAUCCAUCCCCCGCUCAGCUCCUCAACAACUCCGAUCCAAGAGGGGGAGCCGAGUGAGUCUGUAACUGGAAAAACUGAACAAACAACGAAGAGUCCUGCAAGACGAACAAAACCAAACCCGUCGAUGGGAUUACGAGCCCACUUCAGUGCCCCUGAAGUGACUUGCCACAAGAUGGCAGAACGAGUUAGCAUUAGCGCUGAGAGCGGCUAGUAUUUAUUGAAUUUCCUUUCUUCUCCAUAGGAACUAGAUUCAGGGCUCCUGUCAGCUCAUUGCUAAGUUCUCUACCAAAAAAAAAAAAAUCCCUAAAGUGUGCAUGGGGGGAAGAUGGAAGGAGUUGGUCCCCCCACCAGUUUGCUGCUUGGCUUGUACUGAGCCUGCUUAAUAAUGUUGUUGAAACUAUUGACAACAGUGUACACCCCCCCACACACACACAU